AACGAACGCUGGCGGCAGGCCUAAUACAUGCAAGUCGAACGAACCUUUUAGGUGAGUGGCGCACGGGUGAGUAACGCGUGGGAACGUGCCCCUGGGUGCGGAACAACAGCUGGAAACGGCUGCUAAUACCGCAUAAUGACUCCGGUCCAAAGAUUUAUCGCCCAGGGAUCGGCCCGCGUCUGAUUAGCUAGUUGGUGAGGUAAAGGCUUACCAAGGCGACGAUCAGUAGCUGGUCUGAGAGGAUGAUCAGCCACACUGGGACUGAGACACGGCCCAGACUCCUACGGGAGGCAGCAGUAAGGGAUAUUGGACAAUGGAGGAAACUCUGAUCCAGCCAUGCCGCGUGAGUGAAGAAGGCCUUCGGGUUGUAAAGCUCUUUCAGUAGUGAAGAUGAUGACGGUAACUACAGAGGAAGCUCCGGCUAACCUCGUGCCAGCAGCCGCGGUAAUACGAGGGGGCGAGCGUGUUCGGAAUCACUGGGCUUAAAGCGUAC
rnacentral:rRNA from 1 species